rnacentral:rRNA from 1 species
GAUGAACGCUGGCGGCGUGCUUAACACAUGCAAGUCGAACGGAAAGGCUCCUGCUUCCCGGGGUACUCGAGUGGCGAGCGGGUGUGUAACACGUGGGUCAUCUGCCUUGCACUUCGGGAUAUGCCGGGGAAACUGGGGCUAAUACCUGAGAGGACGAUGGGUUGGAUGCCAUUGUGCAAAGUUUUUCGGAGUGGGCUGGGCUCGGGGCUUAUCAGCUUGUUGGUGGGGGAAUGGCCUACCAAGGCGUCGACGGAUAGCCGGCCUGAGAGGGGGUACGGCGACAAUGGGCCUGCGAGACGCACCAGACGCCUACGGGAGGCAGUGGUGGGGAACAUGACCCAGUGGGGGCAAGCCUGUGGCGGAGAUGCCGGGUGGGGGAUGACGUUCUUCUGGUGGGAAAGGGCUGUCGCUAGGGACGAAGCGGUAGUGACGGUACCUGGAGAAGAAGCACCGGCUAACUACGUG